GGGGCGGGGAGGGGCGGGUGGUGUUUCCGUUGCUUCGAGUGGACUGAGAGCUGCUGCCUGGAGCCUAUUCUGCUUGCAUCCCUGCCCGCCCCGCGCGCCGCCGCCCCGCGCGUCGCCGCUCUCUGGGAGGUUCGGGGCACUUAGGUCCCUCUGUCACCCUCGGUUUGCAUCACCUUCUCCUGACCUGAGCAGUAGCCAUGGCACAGGUUCUUAAAGGCACCGUGGUUGCCUUCCCUGAAUUUGAUGAGCGGGCUGAUGCAGAAACUCUUCGGAAGGCCAUGAAAGGCCUCGGCACUGAUGAGGAGAGCAUCUUGACUCUGUUGACAUCCCGAAGUAAUGCUCAGCGCCAGGAAAUCGCCGUGGCUUUUAAAACUCUAUUUG